rnacentral:lncRNA from 1 species
UCUCUCCCACACAUCUCCCCGCUCUCAAAAAAUCUCCGUCUCUCUCUCUCUCUGUAAAUGUCUCUAUGUAUAUAUAUAUAUACAUGUAUUCUUGAAUCGCGUGCUUUCAAUUUGAUUUAAUUUUUACCAGAAUUAUUUUAUUCCCCAAUGGCUGUCGCGGUAGACACGACGAUAAUCUACAGACGAAUUUCGACGUUUAGAUACAACAAUUCCAAUUAUGUUCAGAAUUACAGCUUAGUUUGCAGUCGGUAUAGAGCUUUCAACGUGAAAUCGAAUCGUCACCUCCACGAUACAUCGCCGUUCCGACUGCAGCCUAGGGUUUCCAAGCUGCAGGGGUAUUUUCUGCGGAAUCAUAUGAAUUGGAAGUUUACGAAGAUCUACGCCAACAGUCCUCGCGAGCACGACACUGAUUCGGCUGAGAAGCCCGAGGCGUCGACGGGGCCGGAGAGCCCGAAGAAGCCGGGGGGUGCUGCUUCGGGCUCGGGCCGGAGGGAGAAGCAGGGGAAGAAUAAUUGGUGGGGCAAUAAUAGUAAUAAAUGGAAGUGGCAGCCGAUAAUUCAUGCUCAGGAGAUGGGCGUUUUGCUCAUACAAUUGGGGAUUGUGAUGUUUGUGAUGAGAUUGCUGAGGCCCGGGAUUCCUCUCCCGGGCUCGGAGCCGAGGACGCCUACCACGUUUGUUACUGUUCCGUACAGUGAGUUUGUGAGUAAGAUAAAUGGGAAUCAGGUGCAGAAGGUGGAGGUUGAUGGGGUGCACAUUAUGUUUAAGUUGAAGAGGGAAAGUGGGGUUGUGGAGAGUGGUGUUGGUGAGGUGAAUAGUAAGUUUCAGGACUCAGAUUCUUUGUUGAAGACUGUGACUCCCACUAAGAGAGUAGUCUACACGACCACGAGGCCGGUUGACAUCAAGACACCGUAUGAGAAGAUGCUGGAGAAUGAUGUGGAGUUUGGGUCUCCGGAUAAGAGGUCUGGAGGAUUCUUGAAUUCUGCAUUGGUGAGUUGGUAUAUUAGUUUUUAGUUUAAUUAUUUGUCUCUUGGUUAGUUUGCUACCAAAUGUUGAGCGGUUUAUUUUGACAUAAUUUUGAAUAUCUAUGAUAAUAAAGUUCCAUUCUUUUUUGAAAGAUAUGUUGCUGCACAGUGUUUUUAGGUAUGAAAUAUGGUGCUCCUGCUUUAAUUUGGAUAAUUUGUAGUUACUGCUGAUAGAAUUUUGAAUUUUUUCUAAUACUUAAGAAACUUGAUAGCUGAUUGAACGUGUUAUGGACUGCUUUUUCUUGUUGUUGAUUGCCCAAAGCACUUCAAGACUCAAAGAUGUGUAGGGGCUUUGGUGCAUUUUGCAAGCAAAUGUGAUUACUGUGAAGCUCCAAAAGGCUUACUUUGCUAUAUUUUGUCAUAUAUUUAGCUUAAAAAGUAUAAUACUGUAAACCAAAAAAAUAAGUCCUGUGAUUUCAUUUUCAUUGUGAUUUAGUAACAGGUGUUUCUCAAAGAACUAAUUUUGACCAUUUCAGUAUUUUUACAAUUUUGUGAAUUUAGUAGUUAAAUAUAACAUUAACACUUUCUGGUUAAUUACUUCAGAAGCAAUGACUUGUCAGUCAAUUAAGUAAAACCUAAUAAUCCACAGCAGACAAGCUCAAAAGAUCACCCACCACAUGACAUUAGCUUGCACCCCCACCAAAAAAAUUGCUGUGUUUUGUAAUUUCUGUUUGUCUUUAUGCCAUCAUCCUUCACCUAGAUAUUCUACUUAUGAGAUAUGAUUCCGCUCUUUCCUUUUUCUGUUUUACAGAUAGCCUUAUUCUAUGUCGCAGUGCUAGCAGGUCUUCUUCAUCGGUUCCCCGUAAGCUUUUCUCAGGUAAGAAUCAUCAUGCUGCUUAUACGUCUCUCCAGAAAAAAUAUAAUGUGUACAGUUUAAAAAUUGCCUGCAAAAAUAUAGCAUACCCCAGGGCAGCUUAGAAACCGAAAGUCUGGAAAUUCUGCGGGAGCCAAAGUUUCUGAACAAGGAGAAACUAUUACAUUUGCUGAUGUUGCUGGUGUUGAUGAGGCAAAAGAAGAGCUGGAAGAGAUUGUGGUAUGUUAGAAUUUCCAUAAAAUUCUAAUCUUUUGCAAAUUAUAUUAAUCCAGUAUGUUUCCACUUUGGCAUUUUAGUCUUGUAGUGAGGACUCACAUGAUUCAUUGUUUAAUAUUCUUGCUUUCUUUGUCCAGGAAUUUCUCAGGAAUCCAGACAAGUAUAUAAAACUUGGUGCACGACCUCCUAGAGGAGUUCUCUUGGUGAGUUGUCUUCUACUCUGUAGCAAGUAGAAACAACUAGCAAACAUGAAUGAAAACUGAUAUUGGAAGCUAUGUCAUAUUCAAUAUUUACUGGAGAUAUCUUUUGUUGACCAAUUUAACAGAAACCUGCUUUCUAUCUUUGGGAAAGAAUAUUUUUGAGAUAUAUAGUUUAGCAUCUGGAGAUUCAUUAGAUUUAUCAUGAAAUAGAUUGAAAUGUUUGGUUUCAGUUUACUUUAUUCAUCUGUAUAAUUAAUUAGCUAAAACUUAUUUCCUGCUGUUAAUUAUCUUCCAUGCACUGAAUAAAGUGGAAAUCCAACCUCUGUCUGUCUACAGGUUGGUCUACCAGGAACAGGUAAAACACUUCUAGCAAAAGCUGUUGCUGGAGAGGCUGAUGUUCCUUUCAUCAGCUGUUCUGCAAGUGAAUUUGUAGAGCUGUAUGUUGGUAUGGGGGCAUCUCGUGUCAGAGAUCUUUUUGCUCGGGCAAAGAAGGAGGCUCCAUCCAUAAUAUUCAUAGAUGAGGUUCCUCCUAACUCUCCCUAGUUGCUCUUCACAAUGAAUUUAGCAGCUCAGUUACAAGUUUCUGAUUACCAAUUCCUCGAUUUAUAGAUAGAUGCUGUAGCCAAGAGCCGUGAUGGUCGAUUCCGUAUUGUGAGUAACGAUGAGCGUGAACAGACCUUAAAUCAACUUCUCACUGUAAGACUCUGAAAUCUAGCUUACUUUUUUCUGAAUCACUUUUAAAAUUCUGCUGAGCUGAAAUACGCUUACUAGAUAAGUACUGCAGGAAAUGGAUGGAUUUGAUAGUAACUCAGCAGUGAUUGUACUUGGAGCAACUAAUAGAGCAGAUGUUUUAGAUCCCGCACUCCGUCGGCCGGGUAGAUUUGAUCGAGUGGUUACGGUAACUAGAUUUUUGUUUUUUAUAGCUAUCAUUUUUUAAGAAUGCUACAGUUUAGGCAUAUUUCCAGUUGUCUGUAUAGUAAGAUGCAUAAUUUGGUAUUAGGUUGAAACACCUGAUCGAACCGGAAGAGAAGCUAUCUUGGAUGUCCAUGUUUCCAAGAAAGAGCUUCCUCUGGGCAAAGAUGUUAACCUUGCUGAUAUUGCUUCAAUGACCACGGGUUUUACUGGGUUCGUUCACCCUCAGAAUUCCUGUUGCAUGUUGUUCAUCUUAAGAGACAUUAUUGAAGUUUUAUUUUGCCAUCUUUUGGAUUUUGUACAGGGCAGACCUCGCAAAUUUGGUAAACGAAGCUGCUUUAUUGGCCGGAAGGAGUAAUAAAUCCAUGGUCGAGAAAAAUGAUUUCAUUCAAGCGGUCGAGCGAUCAAUAGCGGUAAAACUUGCAGUCCCUUUUUCUUUCUCAAAGGGGAAUUUGCCAUACUUUUGUGUAUAUAUCUAAGCCUUUAUGGAUUUUUGAAGUCAGGGACUGCAAAUUUGGGCAAAAAGUUAAAAGUAAAGGACAAAAAGGAAGAUAAAAAUGGGUAAAAUGCAUUGAGCACCCCUGUGUUAUCAAAAUUUUGUGCGAACCCCCUUGUGUUUUUUAAAUUGCAUCAAAAUGCCCUUGUUUCCAAGCAAAAUUGAAGUGCUCAACACAGAUUGUGCAUAUUUUUUAAAAACGUGAAGUGAGUUGGUGCACCUCUGAAAAAGAAGGGGAUUUUUUUGCAUAAAAACAGAGAAAAAUGAGGAGCUAUUUACAACUACUUCCCUGCUUUAUUUUCUGAGUUGCCUUCUAUCAAUGUACACCAAGUUAAGUUUCCUAUGUCUCUUAGACGGUUCAUGCUACACUACAGGGUAUUGAAAAGAAGACAACUAAGUUGCAAGGCAGUGAGAAAGCUGUUGUUGCACGGCAUGAAGCUGGUCAUGCAGUGGUCGGAACUGCUGUUGCAAAUCUUCUUUCUGGACAACCUCGGGUUGAGGUAAUUGCUUUGUGGCAUUUUCUUUGGGCUUUCUUCAAAUAAUACUUCUAUACUUCUAUUGUUUUGGCUCUUGCUAGUUGCCUCCACGGUCAGUAGUUUAGUGUAGACUAUUUUGGCAAAAGUUGAGCUCAUUCAUGUUUUAAACAUAUUGUCAAUGUUGCUGCUGAUGCCUGAGAUGUAGAAUUGUCAUUUGAUGAAAUUAGAGUAUGAUAAAAGGCAUGAAAAUCUUGUCUGGUGCGUUCUCUGGUGGUUAAAAAGAAUCUGAAAGUGCAACUUCUCGUAUCACAUGGUUUAAUUAUUUCUCUUAAAAUUUAUUUUGAUGGGGUUCUUUUGGAUUCCUGGAUAACUAGUCUAAGAACAGUAAUAUGAUUAAUAUAUGUUAAUCUUUUUGGCUUCAUCAGAAGCUGAGCAUAUUGCCAAGAUCCGGAGGAGCGCUGGGGUUUACGUACACCCCUCCAACCACUGAAGAUAGGUAUUUGCUCUUCAUCGAUGAGCUGCGGGGGAGACUUGUUACUCUACUUGGUGGACGUGCAGCAGAAGAGUUUAUAUACUCUGGGCGUGUAUCGACAGGUGCACUUGAUGACAUUCGACGAGCAACUGAUAUGGCAUAUAAGGCGGUGGCCGAGUAUGGCCUCAACGAAGCCGUAGGCCCCAUCUCCUUGGCAACUCUAUCUGGUGGUGGAAUGGAUGACUCUGGUGGAUCACCAUGGGGAAGGGAACAAGUAUUACUCUGCACUUUUAUUAUCUCUUUCUUAGUCAAUCAUCUCUUGUUUCGUAGUUCCAAGUGCUAUCUAGCUUCUCAAGUGAUUCCACUAUGUUUUAUUUUGAUAGGGCCACCUCGUUGAUCUUGUUCAAAGAGAGGUUAAAGCCUUACUGCAAUCGGCACUUGACGUGGCACUCUCUGUUGUUCGUGCAAAUCCUACAAUCUUGGAGGGUCUCGGCGCCCACCUGGAAGGUAUUGUCCGCGUGACUUUUACAUAUAUUCUGCAUACGCGUUUCAACACUCCUAAAUCCAAUAUUUAGCAACUAUUUUGACUUAAAACUGUGAUUGUAGAAAAGGAGAAAGUAGAAGGCGAAGAGCUGCAAGAAUGGUUGAAAAUGGUGGUUGCCCCUGCUGAGCUCACAUUUUUUAUCAGAGGAAAACAGGGGUCUCUUGUCCCUCUACAAUCAGGUUCUUGAUGAAGAACAAUGGCAUCUUGAACGAUCCUUUCUCGGAUGUUAUCGUGGUGUUCUGAAACCCGUCGCUCCAAAAUGCUCGAAUGGAGGAGACGAAAAGACAGGUAACAAAACUAGGUGGUCGACGUCUUACCUUCGCGGCUCUGUAUAUUCAUAGAAUAACACCCGAUAUAUCUAAUUUGUACAGUCUUACUGGAAAAAUGCAUGUUUGAAGGCAUUUUUAUGCCCAUGAUCAUGAACAAUGUUUCAUUUUUUUUUUUUUUGAGAAAAAUGAACGAUGGUUUCAUUGAGAAAGAUCGUACUACUAUUCAAGGAAAUUGCCUCUAACGUUGUUGAUGUAGAAAGUGGCAGUUUGUUUGUAAUUGACCAAGUUGCAUUCUAUACUAUUGUAUACAUCACUUUUUUCAUCCAGUUAUAGAGAUACUUGUUUGUAAAUGUGUGCCUCUCUCUCUCUCUCUCUCCUCCUCUCUCAAGUAUUAAUAAGUAAGAUAGCAUAGAAGUGGAACAACAAGCUAUUGUAGAUAGAACAAACAUAGUAACNCUCUCUCUCUCUCUCUCUCUCUCUCUCAAGAUUAUAAGUAAGAUAGCAUGAAGUGGACACAAGCAUUGUAGAUAGACAAACAUGAAUUUACCAGAAAAUAGUGUGGUUUACAUACAUAGGCAUCCUAGCAACAUUUUCACCUACUGGUCAAAAUUUGAAGCAGCAAACCCAUUGAACAAUGAAGCUAGAAUACAAAAUUUGAGAUUGCAGCAGUGCUAAUUGCUAACAAAAAAUACAGGCAGUCAUGACUUGCAACCUGAAACAUUAACAAAUACUGGCUGUUGGUUCUGGCAAUAGAUAGCGUUUGCACCGGUUGAGAGAGAGUUUCACUGCGAUGAAUCGGUGUCCCCUUCUACCUCAGCUCCUGAUCACAAAGUUGGAAACAAGUUAGAAGCAAUCAAUCAAUGGAUGUUUUGUGGUUUUUUGUGACUGGAUAGCAAGCAAAUAACCUCAGCAGUAUAUUAGAGAGUUUUAUAUAUGCAGGGUGAAAGAAAACAUGCAGUCAGAAACCUUGGUUCGAACACAUUCUAAUUGUAGAUCCAUCAAACAUAAAAUUAAUUGGAGCAAAAGAACUAUGAUAGAAAUCAUCAAGUUAGAAGCAAUCAUCAAUGGCACGGAUCAUUGUCUAUCUCAAUUAUGAUGAAUCACUUCCAACGAGCUCCACUUGGUCGUGUAUCAUUUCAUUUCAUUCGCAUCAAUCUUAUUCUUUCCUUCACGAGUCUAUAAAACAUGACAGAAAACAAGUCCUAUAUUAGGAUGGUGACUUUGAAAUAAGUAGGAACGCACAUCAAAUUUCAAAAUCAGCGCGAUCAGGGCACUCGACACACUUCCUUCUAGUAAAUCCUUUGAAGCAGGGUAGAUCAAAACACAAUACAGGAAAUCCUAAUCUACUGCACCUUCUAUUUUGCAGGAACCCUCAAAACAAUGUCAUUCGAUUCUUACGCCGUGCCCUCAACCUAUCCAUGAACCCCUAAUAAACUCACUCUCCAACCUCCAAAGUUGAGCAAUCACUAGCAUCUAACUACAUAAGUUCUCAAGUUCUACAUUCUUUCCUACUAACACCAUCCUACACGUCUAAUGCAUCUACUUUUAAAACAACAAUUUAUAACUUUCAUAAGAGGCAGAAACAUCUUUAUCUCAUAAACACAUAAUAAAUCCUACAAAAAUUUCAUGAUCAUGAUCAAUUUGAUCAUACAGAUUCCUCCAAAACGCAACCAAGCCUAUGUAAAAAUCAACAAGUGAAAGAAAAAGCAAAAACUAAACUCAAUAAACCAACAAGAGUUAACCUUGAUCAGCAGCAUCAUCCUCCACUUCUUCAAACUCAUCCUCAUCCUCAUCAUCUUCAUCUAAUCCAUACCUCUCAUUCAAGAAGUCGACCGCCCCUUUGGUGAGAACCAAGCUCUCCGCAUCCAAAAUGUCGAACAAAUUGAGCGUUCUCGGCGUCAGCAUCUUCAGCGUCCCCACAUUCCUACUCGACAGCCGCAAACUAUCCGGCACCUCCGUCAUCAGAAACAUCGAUUUCCUCUUCGGGUCCAACCCUAACCUCUUCAUCAACGCGAUGAACUCCUUCGUCUUCGGCUUCUCGAAUUUCUCCUCCAAAUCCUCAACAACGAUCGUGUUCUGCAGCGCGCUCGCAAUGGCGGUCGAGAUCGCCAGCCUCUUCUCCUUCCUGUUGAUCUUGAUGGACCAGUCCUUGGGCUUGGGGCCGAAGAUGACGCCGCCGCCGGGGCGGAGCGGCGUCCGCUGCGACCCGCGGCGGGCGCCGCCGGUCUUCUUCUGCGGGUAGGGCUUCCUCCCGCCGCCGCGGACCUCGGCGCGGGUGAGGGUGGACGCCGUGCCGCGCCGCCGGUUGGUGAGGUCGGUGGUGAUGCCGCGGUGGACGACGGAGCGCGCGGUCUCCGGGGGCGCGGAUUUUAAGUUGAGGGUGGUGGUGCCCACCUGGUUGCCUUCGAAGGAGAGCACGGGGACUGUGGCCAGCUCCGCCUGGAUUGCGGCGGCGCGCGGCCUUAGGCGGGGGAAGUGGAGGGUUUUGGGGGAGGGGUUGGGAGUGGAGAGGAAAAUGGAGGAGGAGAAGAAGGAGAUUGAUGAAGGCGAUGCGGUCGCCAUUGUUGUUGAACAAGUGAGAAAGAGAGAAGAGAGAUGUUAUCCUGUUAUCCUUAGCUGCAAACUGGAGAGUUGCCAAGCUUUUUUCAAUUUUUACUUUCCCAACAAACGCUUUCUGUGUAUUGUUAGGUAAAGUCGUGUUAAUGAAAUUUCAGUUCGAAGAGACAUUUAUAGUGUUUAUUAUGGGUGUUAUUUUAUCCAAUUUAUAAAAGGAUUUAUCAUUUUUUUCGUUUUUGAUAAAAAAAAAGGAUAAUCAUUUAUUCAAUAUACUAUUUUUUAGAAGUAUUACUGUUGUCAACAUAAUGUAUGGAACUCAAUUUUUUUAUAUAACUUAAACUCUAGGCUAUUAAUAUGUAAUAUUAAAUAAAUUUUAUCUAUAUAUGAUAUAACUAAUUACCUGUUCUAGUUGGAUAUACUUAUAGAUCUAGUUUUUUUUUAAUUAAAAUGCACAUUUAUUAGAAUUGGAAAAAAAAAAAAAAAACUGAGAGAAUGCAAACUGAGGAGCAGGCCUCGUUAAAGACAGUGUUGCCAUCAAUGUGCGCAAUAAGAUCCAACCACAGGUGUCUCCUGGUAAUCAUCGAACAUGAAGCAUGAAUCGCAAUGUUAGACAUAGAUCUCAUACUUAUAGAUCUAGUUAAGUUAUCUCUGAACUAAACUAAAAUGCACUAUUUUGCAGCUGCAUGAUAUUCCAAGAGUUUUGGUGAUGUUUUGUACAGUAACUCAACAUUUAAUCACAAGGUGUAGACCUUUGACAAAUCUUGCAAAGGUUUAUACUCUCCUUCAACAACGCACAAGGUUUAAAUCUUCUCUCUCUAAGUUCCAGCCUUCACUUUUUUGAAAUUCCUGCGCUAUUUAAUCAUGUCAUGUGAUAAUAUACCAUUUCUUAAAUUUAUAUCAAACUUGUGUGGUUUUGCAGGAAAUGCUCUGCUUCAUAUAUGCCAAGUGGAAGGAUUAAUAGCGGUGAUGAUGCAGUGGAGCAUCCAUACAUGAAGAAUUUACAACCAUGUUCGUCUCAUUGAGAUUUCAUCAUCUAUUUUCCAAACUGCUUAAUUGCAAUUAAACUGUCAAAACUGUGGAGUUUUUCGGUACAUACAAAACUCACAUUACUCGUAUGUUGUUGUCUAGUUUCGCCCAUGACUUGUGGUGUUAUAGUUUAUGUUUUUGUUGCAUGAAAAACUCAUUUGAUUAGUAGCACGAGUUAUAGCCUCCAACUAUGAUCUUGCUUGCCCCAUUAGGCUGCCUUUAGUAGAGCCCAAAGUUAUGGACUGACCCCAACCUCCCAAAAUCAGAUAAAAGAUUAUGACACAUGUCACUUUUUUAUUGGUUCGUUAGAUAUUGUUUUUGAAUUCAAGCAUUUUUUUUUGCACAGUAUAUUAUGAGCACUAGGUCUAUCAACUGAGCCAGAUGCUCAGUUGUUGGUAAUUAUCUCCCGCCACUGAAUAUAUAUAUCUCUGCACAUUUGAAUCCUUCAUACAUCUGGAUAUGCAAGAGAAUUUGUGUAAAAUGAAUUCAUAUUUAUUUUAACGAUACUUUAUCUAUUACUCCCUCCAUCCCACCAUUUUAGUCCCCUUCCACUUUUCACACAUAUUAAGAAAAUGCAUUUAAUUUUUAUAUUUUUAUCUUUUAUACCCUUAUUUAUUAUUUUCACGCAUCCUUUUCACAUUUAAGUGAAGCAUUAAAUAAGGUUAAUUUAGUAAAAACAAUAUUUUUAUAUAGUAUUAAUUAGAAAAGUGGACUAUCUUUUUGGGACAUCUCAAAAUGGAAUAAUGGACUAAAAUGGUGGGACGGAGGGAGUAUAAUAAAAUUUUUGAUAAAUUACAUAAAUAAAUGAGGAAAUAUUUAUUUUAACGAUAUUUUAACUAUUACUCCCUCCGUCCCACCGAAAGUGGUGCAUAUUCCUUUUUGGGUUGUCCCACCGAAAGUGAUGCAUUUCCUUUUUUUGGUAAUAAUUUUACACUACAAACAAUGUGGCCUCACACACAUUUACACACCUUUAUACUACAAUCUUAUUCUCCUUAAAUCUCGUGCCCAAAAAAGUGCACCACUUUGACCGGGGCGGAGGGAGUAUAAUAUAUUUUUUUAUAUAAAUUAUAAAAAUAAAUAAAGAAAUUUUUAGAGACCGCGUAACGGAAGAUUCGAAUCCAAGAUCUCAGGUGUAGGGCAUUAACCUCCAACCAUUAGGCCAACACACACACACUAUUAUAACUAUUUUAUACUACUAUAACAAAAGUAACUCAUUAAUUUUAUAUUUCUAAAAAAUAUAAAUUAAAUCUUUUAUUAUUUUAAUUAAUUAUAUAUCUUGGUGCUGUACGAAAAUAAAACUAGUUAAUAAUAUAAAACAAAAGAAAUUAAUUAAAUACCGAAAGAGAUCAAGAUUAUUUGGUUGUUGACAAGGUUUGUUUAACAUAGCCUUAAAUUGUUAAUGCUUAUCUCAUCGGGGCCCCAGCCCAAAGGGAGAAAUUGGACCGGUCCGGGCCUACGACACAGUGUUUUGAAUUAUGGUUAGGGCCCAAAUCUUUUAGGCACAUUCCGAUCUAAAAUCAAGUAUGAAUUUCCAAUUUUUAUGUUUAAAAUAAUUUCUAAUUUAUCUUUCUCCCAAAUUAUGUUAUUUAAUAUUUAUUCUGAUUUACAAUUGAACGUAUGAUUCAGAAAAUAGAAUAUAUAUAUGUAAAAAAUAGAAAAGUCGUGGGUGGAUAUAUAGUUGAACGUAUAACAAACUGGUCCAAUGAUCCAAUCAUUUUGCAGACAAAUGAACCAAAUAUGUGAGGUUGAUUUAAAAGAUUUAUGUUAGCCACCCAUAUCCCAAUUCCCAAUCUUUCAUUUUAUUUUUUUAAAACAAAAAAAAAAUUAUAUGUUCAUUUUGACGUAUGAGACGAUGUGGAUGUAUUACGAUCGGAUGCGCCUACAUAACAUGGGUUGUCUCUUUUGGGGAAGUAAGACAUCUUGCAAAUUUAAGGUUUCUGAACUUGGUUUCCACCUUAGUUUAUCCUUGUAUUUAUUUUAAUUUUCCUCGUGUUGUUACACUUAAAAUAGCAAAUUACAAUAAUACACUUAGUCUUGGCAUCUAGUAUAUUAUGUUCCAACAACAAAAUUUAUUACAAAAAACAAACUGACUGAUGAGGGAUAUGAUCAUUUUAUUUUUCAAAUACUCAAUCAAUAUUUUAUCUAUUUAUCUCAUCAGAUUAAAUUUAAACACGUUAAGAGGGUUGAUAAUAAUUCUAUAAUACGCACUAGUAAUAAAUUAAUAUAUAAUGCUGGCUAUAAAUUAGUAGGGCACUGAGGCCAUUGAAAAUAAAAUAAAGUUUUGUGUCUCCUUUUUUCUUAAACCGAUUAACGUCCUAAUUCACAUAUAAUAAUAAUAAUAAUAAUAAUAAUAAUAAUAAUAAUAAUAAUAAUAAUAAUAAUAAUAAUAAUAAUAAUAAUAAAAUAUAGAAUUAUAAAAGGUGUCCAUUAUGUAAUCGAAUAAACAACCCGCAUGUAGGCGAGACUUCUACAUCACACAAAAGUGCAAAAAUAAUCGCACGCAACUACCCACAUAAAUGUGGAAAAAUUAUUCGUACGCAAGCGAAAUUAAACUCAAAACUUCUAAUAAAGAAGAGUAUUUGGGUGCUUCAAUUUUGUCACUUGAGCUAGGCCUCAUCGGCUAUUCGACCACGUCAUUUUGAGCUACGUAUUAGUUUGUUUCUUUUCAAAGAAUCCAUAUAAAGUUAUAAACAAUGUUGAAAUACUAUCUUUUAAAGAACCCACAUAAACAACUUUUAAACAAUGUUGAAAUAUUGUGAAAGUGAAGCGCCCGAGUUUUUCACAUCAUUUAUUUUAUUGGAGCAGACAAUUAUUAAGCUAGAUUAUUUAAACUCUAAACCAUAAUUUUUCCAUUUUUGAGGUGGUCAUCAUCUCUCUAUGCCGAAAGGUAGAUAUGCUACAACAUAUACAAUUCCCUAGGAUGAUCACAAACUUUGUUCUAUAAAAUUACAGAUUCCUAUUAUACUCUAAAUUCAAUUUUUUUCUCUCUUUUUACCAUCACUUUCCCAUUUUUCAUUUGCAACUUUUUUCUUCAACGGUCCCAUUUCCACACUUUCUAAUUUCUUUUCACUUUAAACUUUUCCAAAGUUCAGUUUUAGUUUUUGUUUAUCAAAUACCGUGCGUCGGACCAGAGCUUUUGGAUUUGAUUACAUUUAGCACUCCACUUUGUCCACAACAAUGUUAAGAAAAAUAAAAUGUUUUUUUUAUAUUAUAUAAUUUCUUUUGCAUAGCUUAGAUUUCAGAUUUUAUCCCUUUACACAAGAGAUGUCUAUUGUUUUGGAUGUCAAGAAAGAUAACUUUAUCCGAUCAAUUUAAAGUGAGAACUGUUAUGUUGUUCUCUCUCCGUUCCAACGAAAACGGUGCGUAUUCUUUUUUGAGCCAUCCCAACUCCCAAUGAAAGUGGUGUAUUUUUGUCACAGCCCGCCCUAACUAAGGAUAGUUAAGCCGAGUGAUCUACGACUAGGGAUGGGGUUAAAGAAGAAGGGGAAGAAAAGGGGCGUCAUUUAUAGCCGUAAAACUUACUCAUCUUAAUAAAACUCGUCAUUUUUAUUCAUUAAUACUCAAUUGAAAAUAGUCUAUGAAAGACAGCAUAAAACUUAAUUAAUAUCAUUAAUCAAGUUAUACAUCAUAUGAACCAUUCUCUUAAGACUCAAAGUAUGACAUAACAUACUAUAACAUCAACAACAUCUUGCAGCGGAAAGUAGCUAGACAUAUGUAUGAAGACAUAUUCUAGACAGGUUAACUAUUUAUUAACAACCCUGGAGACUCCGCUCAUUGCAGCACCAUCAUCACAUCAGCUCAACCUGCACAUUUAGAAAACAUAUGCAGGGCUGAGUACAAAAGCACUCAGUGGGCACGUAUGCCUAGGUAUAAAAAUACAUGCUUCAAAACUGUAAAUUGUCAUGCCAUCAUAAACAGUACAGCAAGGGAGUUUUUCGCUAAAAAGGCCCAAGCUUACUAAGUUCAUUUGUGAUUCUUAAAGUUCGUCUGCAGACUAAGUUCUCUUGUAAUCUAUCAUAUCUGGAACUGUGUGCCGGAGAGGUGGCCACCUCUCACGGUCACUUGACCGGCCAACCCGCUAGAUGACUCACGGUCACUGGUGUACACUAGCCCUGGCAGGAUAGCUAUCAACUGCUCAGGACCCGAAUUCGAUUGCAUCAUUGGCAAAGCCAAAGCAGAUAGAUAUCAUACUAAAAUUGAAACAUUUUAUGGCAAGACAAUAGUUGAAAUAACUUUAACUCAAAGAUUUUGUCAUGAAAUAACUUGCUUGAACGUAACAUUUAAACUCAUUUGAUAUAUAUGAAACUGAAAUUAACAGUUAGAUCAUCUCAUGCAUUCAUUCGUAUAAGAGGCCUACGACACGCAGGGGAUCUCUAUAUACGUAUAGUAAAAGUAAUGCCCACCUGAUUGCAGUGUUUUGCUACUUAAGACAAUGAUUCUCUUUCCUUAGCGCGAUAGGUUACUCAGACGCUUUUGUUUAUUUGAACCUUUAAUAACACGAAAACAUGUGUUCGAGUGAAUAAUAGAAAAGAUAACAACAAAUGCAGUGAAUCACUAUUCACUCAUUUCUCUAACUACCCAUAUUUCCUUAAACGACUAUAUCUAACUCAUAUACAAUCGUUCUUCCUUUAUCAAAAUACUUCAUGUACCUUUGAGGAUGUAGGAAAUUCCAUUUUAUAUUAUUCAUUUAUUUAUCUAUUAUAAAUAAAGAAUAAUUCUAUAAAACAUAAAACGUUUUCCUUUUCCCCAUUUAAUAAUGUCAAUCACCAAUAUAUAUAUAUAUAUAUAUAUACACAUCAAUAGCUCAUUUAUAAACUAAAAGUGAUAUUUUAUUCAACAAUAAAACUUUAAAAUUACUUUAAAUAGGUAAUUUAUUUUGUAAUCUAUUUCCUAUCUCAACAAAACUGUAUAGAUUCAACUUCAACUAAUAAACUGUCUUUUACUANCCAUCCCAACUCCCAAUGAAAGUGGUGCAUUUUCUGUUUUGGUAAUAAUUUUACACUACAAACAAUGGCCCCCACACACCUUUACACACUUUUACACUACAAUCUUAUUCUCCUUAAAUCUCGUGUUGAAAAGAAGCGCACCGCUUUCAUUAGGACGGAGGGAGUAGUACUUUAUGUAAUACCUGCCGGUCCAAUAACACAUAAAAUCUCGCACAAAUACCACAAGUAAUAUCACGAGAGAUACUAAAAACAGUAAGUAACUGAAACAAUAACAACCAAAGACGCAAGCAAUGGUAUCCCAGUUCGGUGAUAGAACACCUACGUCUAGGGGGCCUCGCCCAGGGAAAACGAUUCACGAUGUGAGGUUAAAUUACAGCAGGACUUAUACAAAGACUCAAUCUUUCUAAUGCCUCUAUAAUUUCCCAAAAUCCCAACACACGAUAAACCGUUGAAAGCUAGAUAACAAUAACUCUCUAAGUGUGAGCCCCGACGAACACACUUAAUCCCUUACAACCAAUAAUUCACAAAACAGAUAAAACUGACUUGCUUUGCUCAACACAGAGAAUAAACGGAAAGCUAGUGAAAAACAAGAACAUAAAUACGAAAGUAUGAUGUUCUCUCAAAGCAAGGUGCAGCGCUCAUGAACUGCUCGACAUAAUGCACAAAAAGGGUCAACCCUUCUUCAAGGUUGAAGACGACUUAUAUAGUUGUUGCAAUCAAAAGUCCUUGCUUAAACCAACUCUUUAAUACUCUGAGAAGUCGAUCACUAUAUGACAAGAGUGUCCAACACGGAACAAACACUCUAAAGAGUCCAAGUAUAUCCAUAAACCUUGAUCAAAUCCGAAAAGAAUAUUCUCCAAAUGUUCUGUCCAGUCAUGAUAACACAUCUGGUAUCACAGAUGGUCAUACAUACCACAAACAUAUAAAUGACAACAAAAACAAAUAGAGUCUCCAACUCUAACACUUUACGUGAACACUACUCACGUUCAAUCCAUGUUAGUGUUAUCUUUUUGGUUUAUAUAUUUAUGUUUAUCUUCAUAAAUUGUUAAUGAAGUUAAUUUUAAAAAUUACAUAAAACUCAAAGCUUAAUUUGUUCGUUUUCCUUUUUCAAACAACUGACAAAAAUAACGAAUCGAACUUUGAUUUAUAUACAAUUUAUAAAAUUAAUUAUCUUAAUAGCAAUAUUUUAUGAGGUAUUAAAAUCCAAAUAAUUGUAUAAAACAAAAAAAUAGCGUUAAUGUGAGUGGUACUCAAGUCAGGUAUGUAGCAUAAUAUUUUAUAUAUAUAAGUGAAAAUAAAUAUAUAAGAUUGAAAUAUAGAAAAUAGAUGUGUGAGUCUAGAAAAUUCGUUCUUACUAUUUUAAUUUAGAUCGUUUUCACAUUUCAGUAUAUGAAAUGGUAAAAUUAUAAUUUUAAUACAUAAAACUAUUUAUUCUCAUAUAUAAAAGAAAAAUUAGAAGAAUAAAAUAAAAAAAUAUUAAUAAAGAACAAAACACAAUUUUUUGUGUAAUGUUACGUAAUUGUCAUUAGAUCCAAUAAAUUCUCGACAAGUACGGCUUCAAAUUGGUCUACGCGUUCACACUUGGAUCAGAUUAAGCUAAGAAUUGUGAAGUUGCAAUCUCAAGGCAUGUUUUGUCAGGUCCUAAUCGAUUGACCUUCACUGGGAUUUAUAUAUACUCUACAGUAUAAAAUAUUGAUUCACAAUUAUGAGUUUUUAUGAAUUGUGAAUUACUAUAAUCAAAAGUUUUAGUUCACAAUGAGGAUUAUUCUAAAUUGUGAAUUAUAAUCUUAAAAACUGAUAAAUUUUUUGAGUUGUGAUUAAUAAUAGUCUAAAAAACUGUCAUUUUUUUUUUCUAACUUGGAGGAAUUGGGGAGGGGAACAAUGAGAUUUGAACCCAAGACCUCACUGUUCACACACAAGAGGUCGCACUUAUAAAUAAUAGUCUAAAAAUACUCAUUUAUAACCAAGAGUCUACCAAGAUGUGAAUGAUAAAUCUCUUAUUCACCGCAAAGACUAUUUUGAGUUGGGGAUAAAAUAAUAAGUGUGUAUUUUUUUUUGUAUUAAUAAUUUAUUCUCUCUGUCCCAUUACAAAUAUUUCACUUUUCAUAAUGGGAUGUUCCAUUACAAAUAUCUCAUUUCUUUUUUGACAAAUAAUUAAAUGAUUAAUUAACUAAUGUGCCCACCACUUUCUAUCUCUAUACUUAGUUUUAGGAGGUGUUUACUUUGAAGGAUUAGCCUUGACUGAUAAAAAUAAUAAGACUAAUCUCUUGUUUACUUUGAUGGAUUGCAAUUUUAGAAUAUCUCAAGCCCCUUGAUUAUUUUUAUCAUUCAAGCUAAUUCUAUUUGAUUCUUAUCCCAUGAAAAAGUGGGACUAAAGAUAUCAUACUUUUAAAAAUAAAAAUACUUAAUCAUCUAUUUUAUUUAUCAUACAAAGUAAACUCUCUCUUACAAUUCUCAAUAUAUAUUUUUUCUCCAACUCAUUUAAUCUACUAAUUACGCAUAUUUUAGUGUUCGUUCCCAAAAGUUCACUUUAUUUAUUUGCGCAUUAAGAGAAUAAAGGGUGAAAGGUGUCUUUAUUGGUAGUGUAUUUGCUUUGCUUAUAGUUAAGAUAUUAAUCUCCAUCUUCCUAGCUAUUUGAUUAAGUGCUUGAUUAUCAUGGGCCCCUAAUUAGCUAUAAUUGCCAUCCCCAAUUAGUACUUGUUUGCUUGGCCAGAGUUGAUACUUUAGUCUUUACUCAUUUCUUGUUUCCCCAAAAUAUGGGUCUAGCUAAGUCCAGAUAUUUUUUUUUUAUUUGUUACAUUCAAAGAUUUUUUUUUAUUUAUUUGUUACAUUCAAAGAAAGAAAAAGCAUACUCACACUCUAGUCUUCUAGAUUACUCGAACUUCCGACCUAUUAAUUAGAGUAGAAGCGUCUUAUCAACAGACUGCGUUUCAUCGUCCAAGUCUAGAUAAAUUAAAGUUUAGAAGAUAGUUAAAAACCAUGCUAGCUUAGUUUUCUCUAAACCCAGCUUCAUCAUUACUCUUGGAAAUAAUGAUUGAGAAAUAAUAGUAUGUUAACAAUAGUGGUAGAUUAGGAGUCCUAGCAAAAGUGCAGUCUGCAUCAUUUCAAUUUUAUAUUUAGGGACUAUUUUACGAAAUUGUAUCAUUGUGAAAGGUGUAAAAAUUUAGAUCCAAAAUAACUCAUAUUUAAUAACAUGCUUGUAAUUACUUGCUCUAAAAAAAAUGCUUGUAAUUACUGGUACUAGUGAUAUUAUAAAUUAUGCUACUGAAAUGUGAAUAUGCAUAUAGGGUGCGGUUAUAGUGAGAACCACAAUUAUGGUGAGAACAUAAGAACCAAUAAAAUUACUGCAUCUGCUAUACAAAUUAAUGCAUCCGCUAUUAAAUUUAAUGCAUCCGAAAAAAAUAAAUUUUUUGCUCCCUUCAGGAUUCGAACCCAGCAUCUGCAUCCAUCCACCAAGAUGAUGCAUCCACCGUAGAUCUUGAUGAUCGAAUGGCUUAAAAUGGUUCUCCGUUCUUAUUUUAUUAGUGGUUCUUAUUUGAACCUCUCCCUAUGCAUAGGGUGCGGUUAUAGUGAGAACCACAAUUAUGGUGAGAACAUAAGAACCAAUAAAAUUACUGCAUCUGCUAUACAAAUUAAUGCAUCCGCUAUUAAAUUUAAUGCAUCCGAAAAAAAUAAUUUUUUUAUAUAUUGUUGAUAUUUGACGAAUGAGUAUAUCUAAAGAAGGGCCAAUUGGCAAUUAGCUGUCUAGUACAUUUUGUGGAAUUACUGUUUUGUGGCAGUUGAUGUUUGUAUCAUAAGGAACAAAUGAGGAAGAAACAUAUGCAUACAUUAAGGGUCGUUUUGCUCCAAAUUCAUUGAUCAUAACCUUAACUUGUCCCACCAGCUGAUAAGAUUGAGAAUAGUAAAUUGGGGGACAUGGCCCUCUCCCAAUUCCAAUCUUUUGUCUCAAUAUUUAUUAUUAAAUUUAUUAUUUGGAAAUAAUUGAAUUGUUAUAAUAUAGUAAAGGAUAAUUAAUUCUCCCUCAGGGACUUCGUCCCAUAAAAAUAUGUAUUUUAUGUCAUUUUUGUACGUUCAACUAGAUUGAGCAUUUUUCCUACUACAAACCCCCUUUUUUUUAUCUCAUUUUAUCAACAUAUUCAUAAUUUUACCACAAAUCUCUCUCUCUCAAUAUUACAAUUUAUUCCAUUCAUAAUACACUCACUUAACAUUUAUUAAAAUAUGUGUCACCAAAAGUGAUGCACAAUUUUGUGGGACAAGGCGGGCAUUUAUUAUUAACAAUUGAAGCUUAUAAAUUUACAUAUACCCUAUGUAAUAUACUCUAAUGACUAAUUAUUAACUAAAAUAUAAAAUAAAUGCUAAAAUAAUUAUAAAUAAAAAUUGACUAUGAUUUACUUUAUUAAUAAUUAAUUAUAAGAUUAAAUAUUUAUUCAUACAUCACAGAUAAAUUUACAGAUUUAUCUUUAAGUAUUAAUUUAUAAUAGUAAUAUAUGGGCGUUGAAAAGUGAGAGAGGGAACCUCAAGCGCAUUUAAAUUUUGAAGGACUGCAAUAAAAUUUGAAAUUAUACAUACACGUUAUAUGAAAUUCUAUAUUAUAAAUAUUUAUUCAUAUAUCGCACAUAAAAUUUACAGAUUAUCUUUAAGUAUUAAGGAGUGAAACAUAAUUUGUAAGGUAAUUUUUUUUACUAGAUGAUAUAAAAUCCAAAAUUUGUAACUUAAUUAAUUACCUCGUUUUCUGUCACCGUUCAUGUUAUGUGGGGCAUGCAAUAGAAUUAUGAAAAUGACUGACCAGAAGUACAUGUUCCCAAUGGAAAGUUUGUUUAUUAAUUUAUUUCAUAUCAGAAGCAAUUCUGUAUAUGUUUUCGAUUUGGCAUGUAUAUAUAUAAUUUUUUUUAUCAUGACCAAAGCUUCAAUCGGUCGAUAUCAUGUAUGUAUGCAAAUUAUCAUUUUUAUGUUACAUCUAGAAAAUUACUAAAAAAAUGUUACACCUAGAAAAAUAUACUAGGGAAUCUAAGACAAAAAGAAAAAAAGUAGUAUGUACAAGUUUAAGGCUGUCAAAAUCUUACAACAUAAUUAACACAUAUUACCACUUUUGUUUUCAUAUGUCUCCGUCAACCCUUUUGACGGUGUAGUCGUAACUGCAGUUUAUUCAAUGUAAGAAUAUAGAUGAAUCCACAUUAAUUCUUAUACUUAAUGAUGGUAGUAGUUUUUUUUUUUUCUUUUUCUUUUUUGAGGAAGAUGGUAGUAGUAUUUUUUAAGUUUUGUACGAUCAAAUAAGUGUAGGAUUCCCGUAAAAAAAUAAAUGGUAAUUAAAUAAAAAAGCACAACUCAAUUAAUAAAAUACUUUUUUUUCAAUUAAUAUAUUAGAGGUUAAUUUGAAUCAUCAUACAAAGGGGGAAUAAAAAACAUAUUAGUAUUAAUUAUUUUUUUUUAAAUCUAAAAAAUUCAUUUGGCACCUCCAGAAACGGAAUAUUCUCUAUAUAGUAUUAACAAUAAAAUCUAAAGGAACAAACCCCGCUAUAUAUUCUUCUUCUAAAGAAAUUAAGUGUGGAAGUAAAGAAAAGAAGUGCAUGUAUGUAUAAGAUCAAAUAGUAGAUUGUAGACGAUACAGAUUAAUGUAGAGUAUAUAAUUUCUUCACAAAAACUUGAGUGCAACCGGGUUAACCUAUAUCUAAAAUAGUGUUAUUUAUACGGUUAGGAUUAUGAUAUGGAUUCAAGUUAGGAUACAGAUCAUGAUUUAAAUGAGGGUGCAAUCGGAUUGCACGGUACAACCGAUUGCACCCAAGACCACCUCUAAUUUCUUUCGUCUCCAAAUUAGUGUUUUAUUUGGAGAUAAAACUUGUGCCGUAUUUUAGAAUCAUGUAACAAACUUUUCAUGUUACUUUUUUUUUAUCAACAUUGAUAAUCGUUUAGUUUUUCCAUGUACUAUAAUUAAGGACAAAAAAGCAAAUUUAUAUAUUUUCUUCAUAUACAAAUUUUGACGUCAUAAGAACUUUUUCGAAGCUAGAGAGAGUAUGGAGACGCUUAUUUUGAGUGAUAAGUAUAAUCGAUAAAUAUCUAUUUUAAUCAAAUGUUUGAUUUGUAUAAUUGGUCCGUGAAUGAUAAUUUGGCCUGCAUCUAAUUAUCAUUCAAUUGAAUAUUUUUAUAAGUACUUUUUUUUUAUAAAUUUACAAUAUUAAAUAAAGAAAUUAAAAAGUUGUGCUACAGAGGAUCACUCGAAUCCAAGACCNNNNNNNNNNNNNNNNNNNNNNNNNNNNNNNNNNNNNNNNNNNNNNNNNNNNNNNNNNNNNNNNNNNNNNNNNNNNNNNNNNNNNNNNNNNNNNNNNNNNNNNNNNNNNNNNNNNNNNNNNNNNNNNNNNNNNNNNNNNNNNNNNNNNNNNNNNNNNNNNNNNNNNNNNNNNNNNNNNNNNNNNNNNNNNNNNNNNNNNNNNNNNNNNNNNNNNNNNNNNNNNNNNNNNNNNNNNNNNNNNNNNNNNNNNNNNNNNNNNNNNNNNNNNNNNNNNNNNNNNNNNNNNNNNNNNNNNNNNNNNNNNNNNNNNNNNNNNNNNNNNNNNNNNNNNNNNNNNNNNNNNNNNNNNNNNNNNNNNNNNNNNNNNNNNNNNNNNNNNNNNNNNNNNNNNNNNNNNNNNNNNNNNNNNNNNNNNNNNNNNNNNNNNNNNNNNNNNNNNNNNNNNNNNNNNNNNNNNNNNNNNNNNNNNNNNNNNNNNNNNNNNNNNNNNNNNNNNNNNNNNNNNNNNNNNNNNNNNNNNNNNNNNNNNNNNNNNNNNNNNNNNNNNNNNNNNNNNNNNNNNNNNNNNNNNNNNNNNNNNNNNNNNNNNNNNNNNNNNNNNNNNNNNNNNNNNNNNNNNNNNNNNNNNNNNNNNNNNNNNNNNNNNAGCCUCUUUUCACCCAUUUUCUCUAAUUAAUGUUGGCUAAUAUUAUUUUAAAGUACAUGUGUGAAAAUAUUUUUUAAUAUUUUCUCAUCUUUUCAUUUCUAGUAAACAUAUCACAUAUGAUAAAAAAAAAGAGGAAAAAUAAUAUUUUCUCAUAUUUUCUUAUCCAUCAUUUUUCAAUGAAAAUUUUACAAUCAAAGUAAACGCAUCCUUAGCGUACAAAAAUGAGGGCUGUUUUCAAAAUAAACUAAAAUUCAAAUGAUUUUCCUAGAGGAUAUGUACACAUUGUUUUUUCCCAAAAUGUUAUCAAUUUUAUCUCAAACAUACUGUUGUAUAAUUACACAUUGUUUUAGAACAAUAAUUUAUUGGGACACUCACGUGAUUUGUCAUGUAUAUAACAUUACUUUACUUUUUUUUUUACUCUACUAGAUAAUUUUCACUCUCACUAGAUUUGAUGUAUUUUUAUUAACAUGCUUAAUUAAAAAAGUAAAAAUUAUAGUGUAAAUGUAUGUGAUUCAUAUAAAAAAAGAGUACAUGCAAGCCAAAUAUUAAAUGGUAUAUUCUGAGAGAGAAAAAAAAAAAACAAAGUUUGAUGGGACAGAUGAAAUACCUAUAAUGUUUUAUGAUCUAUGAGCACUUCACAAUUAUAAAAAUAUAAUAUAAAGUAUAACAUACUUUAAAAUAAAACCCUUGGUUCCAUUUGAAUUUUUCUAAACUUUUAAUUUGUGCUAUUUCAUUCUAUUUUGGAGUACCUAACAAAAAACAAACACGCUCAACAUAAUUUAAAAAUUACACGAUGUACCGUAAAAAAUUUAUCUUUAUUAUUUGAUUUGACAUAAUUAAAUAACUCUUAUAAACUAGUCCCUUUGUUUCAUUAAUAAUGACAUAUUUGUUUUUUUUGUCUGUCCCAUUAAUAACGAUGAUCCGAAAUUACUUUUUCUCACAAAAAGUUGAGGACCCUACCACUAUAUAUCACUUUUAUUAGUAUUUAAUUAUUUUAUUCUUAGUUACUGUAUCCAAAAGUAGGGAGCCAUACUAGUGAGACGGAGGGAGUAUAUCUUUCAAUUUUAAUUAUAAACAAUUCACUUUAUAACUAGAUUUGCAUACAUCAUAAUACUGGUACCCAAAAUAAAUUAGACCGCGCGGACUUGAACCUAAGGACCUUGAAAUAAAAAGGCAUGGGUUUGAACCAACUGGAGCUAAUUGCUUAGUUAAUAUAAAUGAUUUUUAGAUGUGUAUAAAGGGGAGAAUGAAGUCCNAUUUUCUCUAAUUAAUGUUGGCUAAUAUUAUUUUAAAGUACGUGUGUGAAAUAUUUUUAAUAUUUUUUAAUUAUUUUUUCUUAAUUACUGUAUCCAAAAGUAGGGAGCCAUACUAGUGAGACGGAGGGAGUAUAUCUUUCAAUUUUAAUUAUAAACAAUUUACUUUAUAACUAGAUUUGCAUACAUCAUAAUACUCGUACCCAAAAUAAAUUAGACCGCGCGGACUUGAACCUAAGGACCUUGAAAUAAAAGGCAUGGGUUUGAACCAACUGGAGCUAAUUGCUUAGUUAAUAAGUGAUUUUUAGAUGUGUAUAAAGGGGAGAAUGAAGUCCAUCAAAAUUGAUUUGUUAGACAAUUAAUAGUAAAUGAUUUAUUAGAUGCAAUUUUACGAACGAACCAUAAUGACAAAAGAGACUUCAUAUUUUCGUGGAAGGAUGAAGUAGCUGUCUUAAUUUAUUUAAUACUCCUACCUGCCCAAUUAAUGGGUUUAUUAUUUACUAAUUACAAAAAAAUUGCUCGUCAGUUAACACUCAAAACACCUAUUUAAACCCCCAACAUGAUUUCAGCUCAUCUUACGCUCUUCUCUCUCUCUCGCAUCUCUACUCUCUCUCCACCCACACACACACACACACAGACGAAAGCAGAGCGUACUGGGUGUGCAUAGCUAGGGCGUUUGGAAUGUCCGGCAAAGGCAGUCUGUGCAAACAGAAUUCAGCAGGAAGAAAAGCUGUGAAUCAGCAUGCGCAGAGAAAAGGCUGCACCAUGAGAACCUGCGAUUUCAUCACACCGGUUAGAUACCUCAAAUACGUCGGCGGAAAGGUGGUGGCGGUGGUCGUGCGGAUAACGACCAGGGCGCCGCCGCCGCAGAAGUCCCGCCGCGACAGCCAUCCGCCGCCGCUGAAAGAGAGGGCGAGAACGAGUGUCGCGCCGAUCGAUUCUCAGAGAGCUGAAGCCAUACAUGACUGUAUAGACUUCAUCAAUUCUUCCUCUACGUUGCCGAGAUCAAAUUCGGUCGCGCACUGAUUAGGAUCCUCUGAUUUUCCCUCUUCCGUAAACCCUAAUUCAAUUUCCUUGUGAUUACGUGAUUAGAUUGUACGUUCUUCGCGAUUUUCAUUUUUUCUUUUAAAUUAUUUUUCGGUCCAAAAUAGUGAAUAGGAGAUAUUGGUUGGUGUCAAUAAUUUGGGGUUUUAUUUUUUAUUGUCCAGUAAUAUUGUGCUGAGGGUUUAAAAAUUAUUAUGUUGAUAAAGGGUAACAAUUUAAGGAUUAAUUACACUACAUAAGGUAUUAAUUAAUUAAGUUCGAAUUUUCACUGAAUGCAUAUUGCUGAUUUUGAGCUUAUGUGCGUUCUAGUUAGUUUUCAUUAGAUUUCAAUUUUAAGUUAUUCAAUUUACAUAUAGUGAUUUUCUAAGAGAAUAUAGUAUUCAUAAUACUUAAAAUAUUGAAUAUUUUGAUGCUUU